rnacentral:lncRNA from 1 species
CCUGGAAAUUGCCUUUUUCUCAGUCUUCAUUGACCCAAACUCUGCCCGUUGCACUAUGGUACUAGUCACCUGAGGUAUAUUCCUCUGUAUCACUACGCAUGAUGUACUAGUAUUUUUGGUUUUGUCCUCUUGUCGAUGAACAUGAACUGUGACGUAGUGUGUUGAUCAAUUGCUUCUUCAGCUCAGUGGCCAUUCUCAGAUAUACUGAUAAGUAAUAACCGAUGAUCGACGGAUGAACAUUUUUUUGCAUCUAUAUAGACAUAGUUGUAUUUUUAUCAUUUGCUGGAUUAAUCAUGUGCUUUGAUUAGAACAUAGUUGAUGGAUUAAUCAAGCUUCAUGGACAUGUUAUAUAUUUAUAUCAUGAGAUGUCACAUACUAAAUGCCACCUAUGUUUUCAGGCCUAAUUUCAUCAUUUUACAUGGUAUCAAGACUAAAUGCCACUUGUAUUAGAGGUCUUAACUAAUAAUUCACAGUGAAGCUCACGAAGGCGUGUAAUAAUUCACAGGUAGUUGCUACUUACUUGACGUCAUGUACCAAAUUAGUUGGAUCAUGUUCUUAUCAACUACAAUUAUUCUGUUUAAUUUAAUAGAUGUCCAAGUAUCUAAGGUGCCACAACUGAAAACCGAAAUCACCAACUCUCUGACAUUGCUCAUAUUGUUUCAGGACUAUGGAAUGGGUUUGAGAUCAAAAGAAAACCAAUUUGUACAAAAAAUUGCAAUCCUUCAAAUUGUACAAACAAGAUCUAGAACAAGGCAGUCGAUUGAACACACGGACUAAAAUACCACAUCAGCGAAGAUAUUCUGCAGGAAGAUCAAGUUGAUUUUAUUCCGAGGUUCGUUUGUUGAUAUGAAGAGUAUGCCAGUGGUUACAAGUACAACACAAUCAGCAAAAAGGGAUUCCUACUUGAUGAGCUUCUGGACUGCAGGAUACCAACUACAUAAGGUCAGUCAAGAAUUGAAUUGCAAGAUCAAUUCAAAUCUUUCAAUGGGUUCAGUGCCUUAGAUCCUCCUGUGUAAUCUGGUUCCCUUCUUCCUCUGUACCGUGGUGUUCUUGUGCUGCACGAGCGCACAAGUAUGUCUAUAGCUGUAGUACGGUGGAAUGAGAGAUCUCCAGAAGAAGAUCGCAAAUCUGCCAGGUGGUACAGCGCCUCCGGUCCCGGAUACAAGAUCUACCAAGGCUAUCCCCGGAACCUCGC